rnacentral:misc_RNA from 1 species
AACGCACAUUGCGCCCCUUGGUAUUCCAUGGGGCAUGCCUGUUCGAGCGUCAUUUGUACCUUCAAGCUUUGCUUGGUGUUGGGUGUUUGUCCUCUCCUUUGUGUUUGGACUCGCCUUAAAAUAAUUGGCAGCCAGUGUUUUGGUAUUGAAGCGCAGCACAAUUUGCGAUUCUAUCCUAUAGCUCUAGCGUCCAUGAAGCCUAUUUUACACUUUUGACCUCGGAUCAGGUAGGGAUACCCGCUGAACUUAA